AUGCCCACGAUUACAUUCACACACGCUUGUUUCCUGAUCCAGGCUCUGCGGUCACGGUCACGCAGGGUUCUUGCUCUGGGCCGCGUGGGGCUCCUCCCAGCUCGCAGCCCACAGCACUCCACUGCACCUGCUUCAAGAAGGAGAAGGUGCUUGCUGCCAGUGGGGCUGGAGGGGAAACAUAAGUUGCACAGGGUGACAGAAAGAGAAACAAAGAAAGAAACAAAGGGCAAAUUUAUCCAGUUAAAGAAUAUAAUGUGGGGUGCCUGGGUGGCUCAGCUAGUUAAGUGUCUGCCUUUGGUCAAGGUUGUGAUCCCAGGGUCCUGGGAUCAAGCCCCACAUCUGGCUCCCUGCUCAGCAAGGGGGUUUGCUUCUCCUUCUCCUCCUCCCCCCUCCCUACCUCUCCUCCUCCCCCUGUUCGUGCUCUCUCUCUCUCACUCUUUCUCUCAAAUAAAUAAAUAAAUAAAAUCUUAAAAAAAAAGAAUAUAAUGACUACUGUUAUAGGAUAGACAAAGGAAGACAUGAUUUUGUUGCAUAUUAUACCGGAUUUCAAAAUAUAUGUGGUUUCCUGCUAGAAACUUAAUUUCUAGUCUCAUCUCAGAACAGUUUGGGUUGGGCUGUCAUAGAUUUCCUGUGUCCCUCUCUGAUAGUAUGUGUAUAAAAAUAGAAAACAAGAAGAAAACACGUCUCAGCCAAAAAUAUAUCAUAUUGUGUUUCAAGUGUGAGGUAGGAGAAAAAAAGACAAUACCGUUAGCUAAAUCUCUAUUACACGUUCAGUUUUUAUGCCCAUCAGUGUAUCUCCCUAACAGCUACUGAUGCGGAAUGCCAGAGACCCAUUGGAUUGAGCACCUAUUUGGCAUGUGUGAUCCAAGCAUCUGGAGAAGAUCUAUGUUUUGCAAAGUAAGUAGAGAAAAAUCAAUGCAAGUCUGCAAUCUAUAUGGAAAGUAGUAUGAAACCAUUUUUGUUUUAGGCAAUAUAAGAACUACCAUAUCAUAAAGCCUGGAAAUGUGGGUCUUUCUUGUCAGUCUGCCACGGUUGUGGGAACCACUAAUGGAUCCAAUGAAUCAUGUUUUAGCUGUCUCAUAAAUGGGAUCCUUUGGAAUGCUCAGCAAAUAAAGCUUCUAUUAUUCAUCCA
rnacentral:lncRNA from 12 species